CCAUGAUCAAGAGUUGCAUGAAACAGUUGGUCGGAAGAAUGGAUCAAGAAGAACAGUGUCAUUUUACCGCGCUGCUAGUGGAUCAAGUCAAUUAAGUGGAGGAAGCAAGAGCAUCCUCGCAUAGGAGAUGGAGCAUAAUGUAAAGAUCCCACGACUAAGGGCACAACGGACUUUUCGAAAGGAAGGUUGACCUAGGGAUCAGAGCCUCAAGCCUUCUUAUAAAUAGAGAUGGGAAGGAAGAGGGAGGCAGCUCUGGACAAUCAGCUCUCUCCUAGAGUUGAAUCCGAAAGCUCACUACACUCCAGAUUUUCCUUUCCGUUCAAGCACACUUUGUUCCGGGGUUUUAAUUUGUGGUUGUGGUGGUUAUUUUACUUAACUUGAAGUUGUGUAACACCGUCCCAAGCGAGGGCGAAGAUACAAUCUUUUUAAUUUCUGUUUUGCUACAAUUUGGUUUAAGUUUGUUGUUGUUUUGCUGAAUCUAGUUGGAGCUGUGACUUCAAUGUUUUCCCUGAUUAGUUAUGUGAGUUUAAGAAUCGUCUUGCUUAUGUGCCAUGGUUUGAUUUGUGAAUGCGUUUGGAAGUGAUUAGUUGCUUAGGGUCGGCAGUUGUGGUUGUGUUUUGGAUCUGAGUUGUUGAUGUGCGAAGGGUUUUGUGCAUGAAGGUUUUUGGAACGUUUCGAUCUGGUAGAUCAACAUAGUAGGAAACGAAUCUGAGUUUGUUAGCAAAGAACGGUUGUAGAUGCGAGUUUAAUUUAGUCUUCAUGUCGUAUAUCUGGGAGUUAUCUUUUCUAUUUCUGCAUGAUCAUGGCUUAGUCAGUUUCCUACGUGGUUACAGUCGAUCCAUUAGUGUAGAUCUAUGGUUUUAAGUUGAUUAUGUUCAGUUCACGUAGUUACCCGUUGUUCGUAGUUUAGCAAUACUCGAGAAUUUGGUUUAUGCUCAGUUUAUGUGCUGAUUACUUGAAGAAGAUGAAGUUGUUAUCAAAGUUUACUUUACCGUAUGUUUUACAGGAACUGACACCCACUUACUUUUACUGUUGUUUGGCUAUUUCAGGAAAGUCGCAGUUUGAGUUUUUCAGUUUGAACCAGUUGAUUAGUUAGAGUUUGCAGGCCAUAGUUAAGUUUAGCAAAUGGAUCCAUUUAGUUAGUCUAGCUCCUCAGUUCACCCAGUCAAGUAGUUUAACUUAACUCACUUCAAAUGCGUGGCAACAGCCAUUCCCAAAUUAUCCACAACAAAUGCAGAACACCCCGUCUAUGUGGGAUUCGACCCUUACUUCCAUUUACUAAUUCAUAGUAUUGUGGGUUAAGGUCUUGAAAGCCCUGAUUCCUGUCUGCGCACCCAAAACGACACAUUAGUUAGGUUUAGUGAGUGACUUGAUCAGUUGAGAUUCUACCACUUGAGCCGUCGGCGAGUUCUCGCAUAUCAAAGCUAAGGCAUAUCAGUUGGAUCAGCCAAGCGUGUCGACUUGAUCAAUUCACGUCAAACAACUAACAACUCAAUUUGUGCAUAAAGGAACAUCAGGAGAAUCUGAAGCUUUCAGUGGGAUUCUUUGCAGGUAUGAUGGGGGAUUCACAAUGUGGUACCGGAGUUCGUAUGAAAGGAAUACAAGCAUUUGAAGGAAACUCAAGCUCUCCUCACCGGAAAUUUCGUAAGGGUGAUCGAACUCGGAGGAUAUGGACAGUGAGGGAAGAGGAAAUCUUGGCUGCAUCAAUGCUCGAGCUCCUUGCUAGAGGAUGGAAAUCAGUCAACGGAUUUCGCGCAGGGUAUUCGGGAAAGAUUGAGGAUAGUCUGCGUAAGGAAUUCCUGAACACCGACCUCAAAGGCACGCUCCAUAUCACAUCCAAAAUAUAUUAGUGUGGAAGAAUAACUACACGAGUUUGACAAAAUUAUUAGUGUGGAGUGGCAUGGGCUUCAAUUCGGAUAAACAGUACAUGAUAGAAUGCGAUGAUGACCAAUGGGAGGCAAUUGUCCAGGCUGAUAAGGACACGAAAUUCAUGUGGACAAAGCCGUGGCCAUUAUGGGAAACAUGGAAGUCCAUCUUCAACAAAGAUCGUGCGAGCGGUGGAGGUGCUGAACAAGUUGCCGAUGCGGCGGAUUAGGUGCGUUCUAACCUCCAAGGCAGUAGUGAAGUCAAUGAAAAUGACUACCAUCCAAUCUUCGAGGAUGAAGAGCCCAACAAUGUGGUUCCAAUGUCACAGCACGUAGUGAAUGAAGACAACAACUCGGGUACGGGGGUAGACAAACAAACUUCCACCAACAAGUCUGGCUCUAGUAAGAAACGCAAGCACGAAGGUCCUGAUGCAACCCUUAUGGAAUUUCUCGCCAAUCUCAACUCCGAGACUAAGUCUCGUUUGGAUGUGAGUCUAGGAUCGGCCAUGAAUUUGACAUUGUCUCUGCUAUGCAUGUGGUUGCUCGUCAUGCACUCUACGCCAUGUAAAUAGGAGAGGGUGUGCUGCUAUUGCUAUCACACACCGAAUGUCAUCGACAUAUAUAGACCCCAUACAAGUUCAGACAAUACCAGCACCUAAUAUUCAUAUGUUCGUGACAAACAAAUCAACAACCGUCGACUGACAUACCCCAUACAUCAGGACAAAACACGGUGCUAAACCUAUUACAAUACCAGGGAUUUUUCUACAACACCCAUAACGUAGGUCCGUGAAAAUUAGAUAAAAUUCUAUGGCAUUACUAAAUAUGCUACCAUAGCAAUGAUCAGGACAUACUCAUCCCCAAUAACUUAGUUAGAAAUUGGGUCGCCUGGCUAUGU